AUGAUGUUGUAGUGUCGGCUUAGUUUCGGGCUAUUCACAGUCAAAAUGUUCGGGUUAGGUGUGAACUCGGUUCAGACAUGGCAUGGUUCAACAGGCUUCUUCAUCUCAAGUGCAGUUCAGUUUCGUUUCAGAUUCGGGUUUUUCGGCUCGGCUACAGUUUGGGUUCGGUUAGCUCAGUGGUGGUUCGGGACGACACGGUUCAUCGGGUCAGAUUUGGGCUCGGGUUAACUCAGUUCGUGUCCGGGUCAACACAGUCAAAACUCGGUCAACCUGAGUUAACUCGGUCAAACCGAGUCAACUCAGUCAACGACAGUCAACGAUGGUCAAACUCAGUCAAACGAAGAUCCGGAAUACUAUAGUUGCACGCUAGCUAAUUCAAGUUCUUGGAACAACCUCAUGGAAUACACACUUAGCUACCUUUGCACAAGGAUAUCAAGGUUACAUUUUCAACACUAUGGAACGGUUGGAAUAGGAAAACCCAUGGGAAUUCGAGUAAUU